rnacentral:tRNA from 1 species
AAGAAAGUUAUAAAGGUUAUAGGACUGGCUUGAAACUGGUCUUUGGGGGUUCAAUUCCUUCCUUUCUUG